rnacentral:tRNA from 1 species
CCCUAGUUAGCUCAGUUGGUAGAGCGCUCGACUGGAAAUGGAGGGGUCCCAGGUUCGACACCCGGACCAGGCG